AUUUAAAUAGUUUAAAAAAAAACAUUGAUUUGUGGAAUCAAAAAUAAGAAUAGUCUUUUUAAAUU
rnacentral:tRNA from 1 species